rnacentral:rRNA from 1 species
GAUGAACGCUGGCGGCGUGCCUAAUACAUGCAAGUCGAGCGAACAGACGAGGAGCUUGCUCCUCUGACGUUAGCGGCGGACGGGUGAGUAACACGUGGAUAACCUACCUAUAAGACUGGGAUAACUUCGGGAAACCGGAGCUAAUACCGGAUAAUAUAUUGAACCGCAUGGUUCAAUAGUGAAAGACGGUUUUGCUGUCACUUAUAGAUGGAUCCGCGCCGCAUUAGCUAGUUGGUAAGGUAACGGCUUACCAAGGCAACGAUGCGUAGCCGACCUGAGAGGGUGGUCGGCCACACUGGAACUGAGAAACGGUCCAGACUCCUUAGGGGGGCAGCCGUAGGGAAUCUUCCGCAAUGGGCGAAAGCUUGACGGAGCAACGCCGCGUGAGUGAUGAAGGUCUUCGGAUCGUAAAACUCUGUUAUUAGGGAAGAACAAAUGUGUAAGUAACUAUGCACGUCUUGACGGUACCUAAUCAGAAAGCCACGGCUAACUACGUG